rnacentral:rRNA from 1 species
AGUGAACGCUGGCGGCAUGCCUAACACAUGCAAGUCGAACGGCAGCACAGUAAGAGCUUGCUCUUACGGGUGGCGAGUGGCGGACGGGUGAGGAAUACAUCGGAAUCUACUUUUUCGUGGGGGAUAACGUAGGGAAACUUACGCUAAUACCGCAUACGACCUACGGGUGAAAUCAGGGGAUCUUCGGACCUUGCGCGAUUGAAUGAGCCGAUGUCGGAUUAGCUAGUUGGCGGGGUAAGGGCCCACCAAGGCGACGAUCCGUAGCUGGUCUGAGAGGAUGAUCAGCCACACUGGAACUGAGACACGGUCCAGACUCCUACGGGAGGCAGCAGUGGGGAAUAUUGGACAAUGGGCGCAAGCCUGAUCCAGCCAUGCCGCGUGGGUGAAGAAGGCCUUCGGGUUGUAAAGCCCUUUUGUUGGGAAAGAAAAGCAGCAGGUUAAUACCUCGCUGUUCUGACGGUACCCAAAGAAUAAGCACCGGCUAACUUCGUG